UGAGACAGUUGCAGAAGAAGAACUUGUCCCCCCGGGGCGGAAGCGAUUAGGACUCCCACCGCUUUCCCUUUCGGACUUGCGGGGGAAGGUCAGCCCGAAUGUUCUAUUCCAAAGCGGGCCUCUCGUCAGUCUCCACCUGUCCGCCACACCUGCCGUUUGGAUUACCUGCCGCUCCGCCUGAAAAACCGUCUUGCACGGAUGUUAUUUUUACUCUUCCUUAGACAAAGCUACUUGAAGAAAAUUGUUUGAAUAAGGCUUCUUCGGCUACAAGAUGAAGGAGUAGAAAAUAGUUAUUUGUUGCUAUUUGUUUCUGAAGAACCGGAUAUUCAGAUUCGAAUCUUCAGUUAUAGCUACAUCUGACAACCGCCGAGGUAACGUUUCCGAAACACAGCAGAGCAGAUGGUUUUCUUUCGUAACGGACAACCCGGAGUUUUGCGGCACUGUAGGGAACAUGUCCCUGCUGCUCAACCACAAUACAGAGCUCCUCUUUUGUGAACGUAUUCAAUCCGAUCGCUACAAUCUCUCAAUGCCUGAUUUUUUUUUUCGCUUCUACAGCUGGUGACACUCCAAGUGACUAAUUGAAUCG